rnacentral:rRNA from 1 species
GAUGAACGCUGGCGGCGUGCCUAAUACAUGCAAGUCGAGCGAACGGACGAGAAGCUUGCUUCUCUGAUGUUAGCGGCGGACGGGUGAGUAACACGUGGAUAACCUACCUAUAAGACUGGGAUAACUUCGGGAAACCGGAGCUAAUACCGGAUAAUAUUUGGAACCGCAUGGUUCAAAAGUGAAAGACGGUCUUGCUGUCACUUAUAGAUGGAUCCGCGCUGCAUUAGCUAGUUGGUAAGGUAACGGCUUACCAAGGCAACGAUGCAUAGCCGACCUGAGAGGGUGAUCGGCCACACUGGAACUGAGACACGGUCCAGACUCCUACGGGAGGCAGCAGUAGGGAAUCUUCCGCAAUGGGCGAAAGCCUGACGGAGCAACGCCGCGUGAGUGAUGAAGGUCUUCGGAUCGUAAAACUCUGUUAUUAGGGAAGAACAUAUGUGUAAGUAACUGUGCACAUCUUGACGGUACCUAAUCAGAAAGCCACGGCUAACUACGUGCCAGCAGCCGCGGUAAUACGUAGGUGGCAAGCGUUAUCCGGAAUUAUUGGGCGUAAAGCGCGCGUAGGCGGUUUUUUAAGUCUGAUGUGAAAGCCCACGGCUCAACCGUGGAGGGUCAUUGGAAACUGGAAAACUUGAGUGCAGAAGAGGAAAGUGGAAUUCCAUGUGUAGCGGUGAAAUGCGCAGAGAUAUGGAGGAACACCAGUGGCGAAGGCGACUUUCUGGUCUGUAACUGACGCUGGUGUGCGAAAGCGUGGGGAUCAAACAGGAUUAGAUACCCUGGUAGUCCACGCCGUAAACGAUGAGUGCUAAGUGUUAGGGGGUUUCCGCCCCUUAGUGCUGCAGCUAACGCAUUAAGCACUCCGCCUGGGGAGUACGACCGCAAGGUUGAAACUCAAAGGAAUUGACGGGGACCCGCACAAGCGGUGGAGCAUGUGGUUUAAUUCGAAGCAACGCGAAGAACCUUACCAAAUCUUGACAUCCUUUGACAAAUCUAGAGAUAGAGCCUUCCCCUUCGGGGGACAAAGUGACAGGUGGUGCAUGGUUGUCGUCAGCUCGUGUCGUGAGAUGUUGGGUUAAGUCCCGCAACGAGCGCAACCCUUAAGCUUAGUUGCCAUCAUUAAGUUGGGCACUCUAAGUUGACUGCCGGUGACAAACCGGAGGAAGGUGGGGAUGACGUCAAAUCAUCAUGCCCCUUAUGAUUUGGGCUACACACGUGCUACAAUGGACAAUACAAAGGGCAGCGAAACCGCGAGGUCAAGCAAAUCCCAUAAAGUUGUUCUCAGUUCGGAUUGUAGUCUGCAACUCGACUACAUGAAGCUGGAAUCGCUAGUAAUCGUAGAUCAGCAUGCUACGGUGAAUACGUUCCCGGGUCU